rnacentral:rRNA from 1 species
UACGUAGGGGGCGAGCGUUGUCCGGAUUUAUUGGGCGUAAAGAGCUCGUAGGCGGCUGGGCAAGUCGGGUGUGAAAACUCCAGGCUCAACUUGGAGACGCCACUUGAUACUGCCCUGGCUUGAGUCCGGUAGGGGAGCGCGGAAUUCCUGGUGUAGCGGUGAAAUGCGCAGAGAUCAGGAGGAACACCAGUGGCGAAGGCGGCUCACUGGCCCGGUACUGACGCUGAGGUGCGAAAGCGUGGGGAGCAAACAGG